rnacentral:rRNA from 1 species
CCUACGGGCGGCAGCAGUGAGGAAUAUUGGUCAAUGGACGAGAGUCUGAACCAGCCAAGUAGCGUGAAGGAUGACUGCCCUAUGGGUUGUAAACUUCUUUUAUAAAGGAAUAAAACGAGGCACGUGUGCCUGUUUGCAUGUACUUUAUGAAUAAGGAUCGGCGAACUCCGUGCCAGCAGCCGCGGUAAUACGGAGGAUCCGAGCGUUAUCCGGAUUUAUUGGGUUUAAAGGGAGCGUAGAUGGGUUGUUAAGUCAGUUGUGAAAGUUUGCGGCUCAACCGUAAAAUUGCAAUUGAUACUGGCAGUCUUGAGUACAGUUGAGGUAGGCGGAAUUCGUGGUGUAGCGGUGAAAUGCUUAGAUAUCACGAAGAACCCCGAUUGCGAAGGCAGCUUACUAAACUGUGACUGACAUUGAUGCUCGAAAGUGUGGGUAUCAAACAGGAUUAGAUACCCUAGUAGUC